UUUUUUUUCUCAAAUAGUCUUUAUAUCAUCAAAAUUUAUACUCAAAAAGCAUAUUGAUGCAGUUUUUUCAAAAGGUAAGUUUAAUUUAGAUAAACAAUAUGGCUUUACAUUUAUCUGUAGUGCACUGUACCACACCGAAUUUUGGGCAAUAAUACAACUCGGGUACAGUCUAAUAAGGACCGGGUACGUUUAAGUAUAUUAACCUUACCCGAGGUACAUGCAAGUAUGCUUAAUGAUACCAGGGGUACAUGUAAGUAGUACCCAAGCUGUGAAUAACCAAUCGAGCGUGAGUAAAGUAGAUUGUACCUUAUGUCUUUAAUAAUUGCAGAACAAUUACCUUAUUUAUUUCUAUAUUGUUUCCAUUUGAUUACAAUUUAUUUAUUUGUCAAAUUCAAUUCUGCAGUGCUAUAAAUAUGCACCCCCAUCCCAAAAAUUUAUUUCGUGCAUAUUGAUGGGGCUUUUUUAUUUAUUUACUCCUUUUCUGCAUUCCUCCCUUUUGUGUUGGUAAUGUGAACAUGAAAUGAUGAGCACUUUCAUGUUAAUGAAUAACUUUUAUUUUUUUUAUAGAUUUUGGCAUAUUGCAUAUUGCCAAGGGAGAUGUUUACUGAGGAUUCCAUGCCAUUAAUAUGCAGGCUGUUGCUGAUGCCAGCAUGAGCAAUAUCUGAGCACCAAUGAUGAGGGUCAUCUGCUGGGAGAUAGUGGGUAUCCGUUAAGGACUAACCUGAUGACCCCUUAACCUCAUCCCUCCCAUGCUGCGGAACAGGCCUACAAUGACCAUCUAUGUAGAGGAUAUCUGCAUGCCACUGGUGGAUGUUGGCCUUUCAAGUCCAAUAAGUGCUGUGAAAUAUCAACUGUGUACAUGCCCCUGCAUAACCUGUGUCUGGAUUCAAACGUUCCACUGAUAGAGGAAUUGGUUGGAAAUGAGAUGGAACCGGAAGUUAUGAACAACACACCAGUACAUCGAGCAGCAUGUGAUAAGAGGCAGCAGCUGAUCAAACUGUUUCAUAAAAUGUGUUAAAAAUUUAUAGUUAUAAAUGUUAUAAAGUGAUAGAUGGCUCGAGUCUUCUCUGAAUAGGCAGAGCUACACUACUCAGCCAAAUGGCGUAAAGUUGUGUCAUAGCUGAUUUGGAAGGAUUGGUAUUCCUGGUCGUCUAGACACAAUAGUUACAACAGCUGAUGUUUGCAUGUUUUAUAAUUGUGUAUGCAUAAUUUGUCUAAUAUUUACUUCAAGGUUAUAGGUUUGUGAAAGAAAAAAAUGUCAAUGUUCUGAGGACCAAUAAAAAAAAUAAUGUGUUAGGUAUUACCAAGUGCUUGAUUUAAUAUUUAUUUUAAAGGGAACUUUUCCUAAAUUUUGGCAGAUAUUCAAGUUUUUCAUUAAACGCUUUUAUAUUGAUACAUGUAAACACUGGAUCUAAAAAGCUCCAGUAAAAAAAGAAUACAAUUAAAGAAAGAUAAAAAGUAACUCCUACAGGGCUCAAACCACUGACCCCUGAAGUAAAAGCCUCACACUAAGACCACUUGUCCGUCCAUGUUGAUACAAUGAGUGAUGUAUUUUACACUUUAUAUAAGCAAUCCUCAUCUUGCAUAUAAUGGAUAUUUUAGAGCAUGGUAAAUGUUCAGUAUUACUGUUUCCUCACAAAUAUCAUAACUACAACAAAUGUUUGCGAAUCUUAAACUUAUUUUUUUUAAUUUAGUAAAUUUACCAAAACUGGAAAAGGUCCCUUGAAUAUUGAACAGUUAUCUGAGCUCCAGAAAAGAUCAUAUACUCAAGGUACUUUUCCCCAUUAACAAUUAUUCAAGUGAUAUUUUACCCACUGACUUUCGCUCUAAAAGGUGUUCUCUGUAAUGAACAUUCUCAAAGCCACAUUAAAACAAGGGCUGUUAGUAAAACAUGCAUGCCCCCCAUUUGGGCUGUCAGUUGUAGUGGCAGUCAUUGUGUGAAUACGUUUUUUGUCACUGUGAACUUGACCUUUGACUUAGUGACUUGAAAAUCAAUAGGAGUCAUCUGCCAGACAUGAUCAAUGUACCUAUGAAGUUUCAUAAUCCAAGCUGUUGGCAUUCUUGAGUUACCAUCCGGAAACCAUUUUACUAUUUUGAGUCACCGUGACCUCGACAUUUGACCUAGUGACCUGAAAAUCAAUAGGGGUCAUCUGCAAGUCAUGAUCAAUGUACUUAUGAAGUUUCAUGAUCCUAGGCGUAAGCAUUCUUAAUUCAUCAUCUGGAAAUCAUUUUACUGUUUCAACUCACUGUGACCUUGACCUUUGACUUAGUGACCUGACAAUCAAUAGGGAUCAUCUGCCAGUCAUGAUUAAUCUACCUAUGAAGUUUCAUGAUCCUAUGUCCUAAGAUUUCUUGAGUUAUCUAUCAUCCGGAAACCAUCUGGUGGACAGACCGACCAAGCAAAACAAUAUACCCCCUCUUCUUUGAAAGGGGGCAUAAAAAGUGGGCUUGUAAAUGUAACGGUACUUUAUAAUAAUAAGUGUGCUGUCUAUAAAUAUGGAUAUUAUUGUCAUAAAAAAAUAGAAGUUUUCCAAUAUAUUAGAUUGUUUCCGAAUGUAUUUACUAAACUUUACCCCUUUAUGAGUCUCUGUUCAAUUAUUUAGUCAUCUACCGUUAAAAUGUUGUUUACCUGUGCAUUUUUUUGUAUUUUUAUUGAAAUGUUUAUGAUAAUAAUGUUUAUAGUAUUUGAUAACAGUUGCUAUUACACUAGUUUUCAAUGAAUAAAACACAAA